rnacentral:rRNA from 1 species
AUGCAAGUCGAGCGGUAACAUUUCUAGCUUGCUAGAAGAUGACGAGCGGCGGACGGGUGAGUAACGCGUAGGAAUCUGCCUAGUAGUGGGGGACAACAUGUGGAAACGCAUGCUAAUACCGCAUACGCCCUACGGGGGAAAGGAGGGGAUCUUCGGACCUUUCGCUAUUAGAUGAGCCUGCGUGAGAUUAGCUAGUUGGUGGGGUAAAGGCCUACCAAGGCGACGAUCUCUAGCUGGUCUGAGAGGAUGAUCAGCCACACUGGGACUGAGACACGGCCCAGACUCCUACGGGAGGCAGCAGUGGGGAAUAUUGGACAAUGGGCGCAAGCCUGAUCCAGCCAUGCCGCGUGUGUGAAGAAGGCCUUAGGGUUGUAAAGCACUUUCAGGAGUGAGGAAGGGCGUAUAGUUAAUACCUGUAUGUUUUGACGUUAACUCCAGAAGAAGCACCGGCUAACUCUGUGCCAGCAGCCGCGGUAAUACAGAGGGUGCGAGCGUUAAUCGGAAUUACUGGGCGUAAAGCGCGCGUAGGCGGUUUGUUAAGUCGGAUGUGAAAUCCCA